rnacentral:rRNA from 1 species
AGGAAGGCUCUUGGGUUGUAAACCUCUUUUCUCAGGGAAGAACAAMAUGACGGUACCUGAGGAAUAAGCAUCGGCUAACUCCGUGCCAGCAGCCGCGGUAAUACGGAGGAUGCAAGCGUUAUCCGGAAUGAUUGGGCGUAAAGCGUCCGCAGGUGGCAUUGAAAGUCUGCUGUCAAAGAGUCUGGCUCAACCAGAUAAAGGCAGUGGAAACUACAAAGCUAGAGUACGUUCGGGGCAGAGGGAAUUCCUGGUGUAGCGGUGAAAUGCGUAGAGAUCAGGAAGAACACCGGUGGCGAAAGCGCUCUGCUAGGCCGUAACUGACACUGAGGGACGAAAGCUAGGGGAGCGAAWGGGAUUAGAUA